GUACUGCUAAAGAGUCCCACAAUAGGACGAAACGGACUUCCAGUGC
rnacentral:hammerhead_ribozyme from 1 species